rnacentral:rRNA from 1 species
ACGGCUCAGUAACACGUAGUCAAUCUACCCUAUGGACGGGAAUAACCUCGGGAAACUGAGAAUAAUGCCCGAUAGAACAUUAUGCCUGGAAUGGUUUAUGUUUCAAAUGAUUUAUCGCCAUAGGAUGGGACUGCGGCCUAUCAGUUUGUUGGUGAGGUAAUGGCCCACCAAGACUAUUACAGGUACGGGCUCUGAGAGGAGUAGCCCGGAGGUGGGUACUGAGACACGGACCCAGGCCCUAUGGGGCGCAGCAGGCGAGAAAACUUUGCAAUGUGCGAAAGCACGACAAGGUUAAUCCGAGUGGUUUCUGCUAAAGAAACCUUUUGUCAGUCCUAGAAACACUAACGAAUAAGGGGUGGGCAAGUUCUGGUGUCAGCCGCCGCGGUAAAACCAGCACCUCAAGUGGUCAGGAUGAUUAUUGGGCCUAAAGCAUCCGUAGCCCGUUUUGUAAGUUUUCGGUUAAAUCCAUGCGCUUAACGUAUGGGCUGCCGGGAAUAUUGCAUAACUAGGAAGUGGGAGAGGUAGACGGUACUCGGUAGGAAGGGGUAAAAUCCUUUGAUCUAUUGAUGACCACCUGUGGCGAAGGCGGUCUACCAGAACACGUUCGACGGUGAGGGAUGAAAGCUGGGGGAGCAAACCGGAUUAGAUACCCGGGUAGUCCCAGCUGUAAACUAUGCAAACUCAGUGAUGCAUUGGCUUAUGGCCAAUGCAGUGCUGCAGGGAAGCCGUUAAGUUUGCCGCCUGGGAAGUACGUACGCAAGUAUGAAACUUAAAGGAAUUGGCGGGGGAGCAC